CGGGUUGAAGAGCAGGGUUGGAGCGUGGGCCCGGCUUCUCCCGUGCUGCUCUUCCAGGCCUUAGGCGAGGGCUGAGCCGCGGGCCAAGCCUAUGCCGCUGUGCUCCGGCCGAAAGACUGCCAGCUCGUGCACGGCAACGCAAGUUUUCCUGUAUUCUUGGUCUAGUUUUAGUGCGGUAGCUGUCCAUGUAUUGUGUACCGGAACUUUGCUCCCGUUUUCGCGUUUACCUCACAACUCAACCAGCCUGUACUGGAGGUGCAUAUUUCCCCCAGUUUUUUGUUGUCUCGCCUCUUACACACCGAAGGAUGGAGUGGUCGCCUGACUCCUAAACGCCAGCUUUAUUGGCCAAGCUAAACUGUUUGCAGAGAAAUCAGCUUCACAAUAGAUAGUUAACCUUUCGAUGUGUAUAUCACUGGAGUACCUGGGGAAACCUUUCUCAUAUAUUGUUUUCUGUGUCCUAAAACCUUGGGAAUCACCCAGCUUAGGGCAAAUGAGUGCCCUCUACCCUGCCCCUCCCUUGAAGCCACCAUGGCACGGAGCUUAACUCAUUUCUUGUGGUAGAGGGCUUGCCGGUGUGUCCCCAAGAGUUUGAGUGGCAUAGAGCCUGUGCCCAGCUGGUGCCUGAAGAAGUCUGGUAACAAGAGACUGUCCCUGAUGGCAGAGUGAGAAGGAAGGGCUGCAGGUCCCUCCCUGGCAGGACAGAGCCUUGCCCAGCCGGGCUGUUUGCUGGGAAGAGGGAUUCCACUGGAGAGAGGCUGGAAGUAAGGCCACUGAGACUGCAGCUUCUCAAGAAAUUCCCCUUGGAUUCAUCUUGGCAUCCCCCAGAAUGCCUAGUCGGUGCCUGGCUGACUUGAUGGGUCAUAGUUGUUUGUUGAAUGAAUGCAUAAGUAAGCAGUUGACCUUAGUUUGAGGAUAGGCUCUCUCCAGCAUUUUUAGUUGAACCAAACACCAGAGAUUUUCUCCUUGAUUGGAAAGAGGAAAAAGAUGUCCACUGUUUUGCUUCCCUGGAAAUUGAAACUUUCCUCAUAUGCACCUGCAUCCUCUGAGACUUCGGAGGAAGAUGUCCAUUGAUUUGGUUUCCUGGAAUUUGAAUCUUUUCUCAUUUGCUGCCUGCAUUGUCUGAGACCUUGCUCCUGUGGGGGCGGAGCUGAUAAAAACACCUAGAAACAGGCCUUUCAGGAGCCAUAUAAGCUCAAGACCUUGGGGUCAGUUCUACCUUCUCUGGAACUCUCCUUCUCUGGGGUGACUGUGAUCCUAGCAGGGCGUCGGCAGUGUCCCAGCUGGCCUUUCGUCAUGGGCGAAAUUGCAACUAUGAUUAAAAAUGCUGUGUUCUCCACCGCUAUGACCGUAUUGGUCCAGGCCAUCGUCUUCCCUGGGGCAGGAAUGGCUGCAGGCUUAAUGACCAGGAUGACGUCCGCAGCGGCCAAAACUGUCACCAGAGUUGCUGUCGGCAGCCUGAGGGUUGCUCUGCGGUCACUGAGACUGGCCUGACUCUUCCCGUCACGCACACUCAUGCUGGUCUCCCUGAGUCUGCCUUUGUGACCUGCGUGGUGGCCUCUGCAAAGCCCCCUGCCCCUGCGGAGAAGAGGACCACGCUAUGGCAGAGGGUGUGGCCAGCCAGCCGACUCAGCCAGGGACCCGUCUGGGGGCACAAUGAACCCAAUGCUGCACCCCCAGAGGAAAAUAAAAAAUAAAAUUGAAUUGUUGAACUCCU